rnacentral:rRNA from 1 species
UACGAAGGGGGCUAGCGUUGCUCGGAAUCACUGGGCGUAAAGGGCGCGUAGGCGGACUCUUAAGUCGGGGGUGAAAGCCCCGGGCUCAACCUGGGAAUUGCAUUCGAGACUGCAUAGCUAGGAUGCGGAAGAGGGAAGUGGAAUUUCCGGUGUAGCGGUGAAAUGCGUAGAUAUCGGAAGGAACACCAGUGGCGAAAGCGACUUCCUGGUCCAGCAUCGACGUUCAGGCACGAAAGCGUGGGGAGCAAACAGG